CCUUCGGGCCUCUCGCGUCAGGAUAUGCCUAGGUGGGAUUAGCUAGUUGGUGAGGUAAGGGCUCACCAAGGCGACGAUCCCUAGCUGGUCUGAGAGGAUGAUCAGCCACACUGGAACUGAGACACGGUCCAGACUCCUACGGGAGGCAGCAGUGGGGAAUAUUGCACAAUGGGCGCAAGCCUGAUGCAGCCAUGCCGCGUGUGUGAAGAAGGCCUUCGGGUUGUAAAGCACUUUCAGUCGUGAGGAAGGUAGUGUAGUUAAUASCUGCAUUAUUYGACGUUAGCGACMGAAGAAGCACCSGCUAACUCCGUGCCAGCAGCCGCGGUAAUACGGAGGGUGCGAGCGUUAAUCGGAAUUACUGGGCGUAAAGCGCAUGCASGUGGUUUGUUAAGUCAGAUGUGAAAGCCCGGGGCUCAACCUCGGAAUYGCAUUUGMAACUGGCMGACUAGAGUACUGUAGAGGGGGGUAGAAUUUCAGGYGUAGCGGUGAAAUGCGUAGAGAUCUGAAGGAAUACCGGUGGCGAAGGCGGCCCCCUGGACAGAUACUGACACUCAGAUGCGAAASCGUGGGGAGCAAACAGGMUUAGAUACCCUGGUAGUCCMCSCCSUAAACGAUGUCYACUUGGAGGUUGUGGCCUUGAGCCGUGGCUUUCGGAGCUAACGCSUUAAGUAGACCSCCYGGGGAGUACSGUCGCMAGAYUAAAACYCAAAWGAAYUGACGGGGGCCCGCACMAGCGGUGGAGCAUGUGGUUUAAUUCGAUGCAMCGCGAAGMACCUUACCUACU
rnacentral:rRNA from 1 species